GGAGGCUGCCUUCACCGAGUCAUCCCCUUCUUUCUCAGUCUUGCCUAGCACCUCGAGAAGGAAGAAACCACCUUCACCCUGAGUCUCAAGGUGAAGCUUCCACCAUUCCGGCACCCAGGAGCAGGCAGAGCCCCAGACUCUGGAAGGAGCUCUGCCACCCCGGGCUUUCCAGAAGACCUUUGGAGAUGAUCUCGCCCGCAUCAUCUUUCCCGUCUCAGGUGCCCUCAUCUCGGAGACGCUGUGGAGAGUACAGAGCAACCCAGUGUUCCCACAGCCUGUGGAAGAGGUUUCACAUCAAGGAAGCAGGCAGCAGGACCCCCAGCAUGCCGCGCCUGGCCGAGCAGCCAGGGGAACCCCAAGCCCACACCUCACGCUCCAAUGGCAACAACAAACGCAACUCCCGGAGGAACCAGCACAAAGCUCAGCAUCUGGGCUCCUCAGCCAAGCUCCGGAAGUGACUGUGAACACGUGCUCCCCCGAGACCCCAGGGCCUGCCCUCCUGCCUGCAACUGUGCCCCUAACAACAGAAACAAAACCCGUACAAGCCGCCGUGCCGGGCUCACAGAGAGAAGUCAACAAAUGUCUGCUGGAAGAAUAAGAGAAUGAAUGAACAAUGUUGUUCCUCUUGGAUUUCCCAGCUGGCUGGACUCCUGGGCAGGUCUUUGAAUUCGCCCUGCAGACCCCGUUGUGUUGCUUCCCUUGGCUCUUCAGAACAAAAGAGUAUACAAAAGUGCUUAUCCUUUUUGAUAGAAAUGGGUUGGAACAGUAUGGUUUUCACUUUGACUGGGAGGCCUAGAAUGGUUUGCAAUCGAUUGUUUGUUUCACUAAUGGAG
rnacentral:lncRNA from 1 species